rnacentral:misc_RNA from 1 species
AAGAUCUUUGGAUGUCACAGUUUGGUGCGAUUCCUUUGAUUUAUUUUUCAUCUUGUAAUUUUAUUUUUGAACUUUGUUACACAAAGUUUUAAAAAACUUACAUUUGAAUUUGAAUUAUAGGUGCCGUGCCAAGCUGUGUGCAUCCAAAGAACUACGG